rnacentral:misc_RNA from 1 species
UCGGUUGCACAUCUAUCGCUGUCGCUUGGGCCAAGCUCUUGAGCCCAUGUUGUUCUGUUGAACUCGUAACGCCUGCGCGUGUUUUUCCAAAUGCAUUUUCAAAACCGAUUAGAAAUAGUUAACAUUAACGUUCACGAUUAAUAAACGCAAACAGCUACACAAAUUGCGCGAAAUAUACAAUAUUUGUGAUUUAACGGAGGUUUAGUGUGCACAGAUGUUUUAAUUGGAUUUGGAUUUGGAUUGUAACUCUACACUGAAAGUGCCUUUGUUAACAACUCAAUCAGCCCCAUCAUCUCCAUGCGUUGGAAACUGUAAUUCGUGUAAUUCGGUAGAAGUCGUCGAAAAGUUAUCGUGCAAACAAAUACUCGAUACGCUACAUAAGAUCCGAAAAUAGAAAAACCAAAAACUUAAAGCCCAAAAAAAAAAAAUAAAAAAGAAGCAAAUAAGCCGAUAGCCGACAAACAGUUGCCGCGUUGAACGUGUUGGCAUUUUAUUUAGUUUUGGUUACGUGGCUGGAGAUUCGUGCGGCUGCCGAAAAGAAAGUCACGACAUUAUCCAAAGCGGUUCAAAACGAGAUUUCCAAGAUUCUGCGCCGAAAGUCAAAGUUACAAGUUUACACAUUUUGGCCCGGUUCAACGUAUCUGUGUGUGUUCGAGUGUAUGUGUGUGCGUUUUUGUGUUUGUGUGUGCCACUUUAGAAAGUGAAAAUCGAGUGCAGUCGCAGUUUGAGCCACAUUCGGUCAAACCUGCCUCUGGGGCGCUGCAGCCGAAAGUGAAUUUGCUUGUAAACUUCAAUUAUAUUCGGCUUCAGUAGCUGUAUACUGUAAACUGGUAGACUGGUAGACUGGCAGGCUGAAGACUAGCUACUUGACGUUACUUCUUCUGGCCAUUCAUCGAUAAUCCAUCUGUAUUUGCAUCCACGUCCAAAAACAAAAGUUCAACAAUGGAGGCCGAAGAAAUUACAAAACUCGUUGAUGGCGUUUAUAGGAACAUACUCGAUCGAUUCAACCCGGGUGCCAGACAGCUAAUUGCAGCGGGCAAAAGUUACCUGAAGGCGUUGCAUGGUGCCGCAACUGCCUCGCGUCUAUUCAAUGAAGCAUUGGCCAAGAUUGCAAUGAAUGCGCAACAAAGCGGAACAGGCGAUAUUGGUUCAGCUUUGAUGAGCGUUGUAAAUGUUAACAAGGAGAUACAGGAGCAACAGAUGAAUAUUCUGAAAGCCUUCUACGUGGAUCUGUUGGUGCCAUUGGAGACAAAUUUGGAGAAGGACACAAAAGUGGUGCAGCAUGAGCAAAAGAAGUUCAUGCAGCAGCACAAGGUGCGCAUGGAGAGCUACCAGAAGGCUGUCUCCACAAUGAAGAAACAGCGCAAGAAAAAGGCAACGCCCGAGAAUACUGAAAAGGAGCUGAGAAGUCUGCAACUGUUGGAGGAUCAAAAGAAGAAGCUGGAUAUAUUCUGUGAUCAGAGCUAUAAGAACGCCAUGACACAGGAGCGUCGACGCUAUGGUUUCGUCUUGGAGCGUCAGUGCUCGAUAGCCAAGCACUGGAUGGCCUACCACACCACUGGCAAAACAAUAAUUGAUAAUAAUUUCGAAAAUUGGCAAGAAAUUGCCGCUUCUCGUGAGAUUAUACCGCCGGCCGCAUACGAAAGCGGCUACAGCAGCAGCAACAGCAACACAAGACGCCUCGAACGCAUCAAAGAUGCUGAGGAUGAACAAAUCAGUGGCGCUCAGCUGAAGAAGUCACGCAGCAUCGAUGCACCCUAUGGCGAUAUGCGCACCCUGCAUGAACGCGAUGGCGCCUUGGGAUCCACGCACUAUGCACAGAACUCGCUGCCCCGUGCCAAAUCCGAUUUUAAUCUGGCGCUGGUCGGCGCAGGACCCAUCACAGGCAGUAAACACAAAAUAAUUGAGGAGCCGCAUGGAGAGAUUGAGCGUGGGGAUCAGCGUCCGCUGGUGAAGGCGCUCUAUGCGUAUAUGCCAUCGGGGGAGAAUCAAUUGUCCUUCGAGGAGGGCGAUCGUUUGGCGCUUGUGGGUGCCAAAGCCAAGGGUUGGCAGUUUGGUGAGAAUUUGCGGACGCAACACUUUGGCUGGUUCCCAGUGGCUUACACCAAUGCGGAGAGCAUUGAGCUGGCGCCAUCUGGCGGCCGGCGUUAUGAGAACAUGCACAUGAGCUAUGACCGCAAUGGUGGUGGUGGCGCCACUGGCAGCGGCAGCGGAUUGCGCAGCAACUACCACGAACAACAUCAGCAAUACGAGGCGCAACUGGAUCUGAUGGAGAACGACGCCACCUAUCGGCGCCGACGCAAUCACAGCGCCGAGGAAUCAUCGCCUACACGCAUGUUCGGCGAUACCAUCAAACAGCAGAAGAAAUAUCGCUCCGGUUCGGCGGCCAAUCCACGUCCCGGUCCGCCACCCACACUGCCCGCACCAGUGCCCAAUGGCCAGAACCAGAGCGCCCGUAUGCUGAACAGCUCGCAGAGCUUCUGUGCCACCAAUGGUGUGCCGGCAGCCGUUGAGAGGCGCAAGCAGAAGCUGCUCAACGGAGCACAGAGCUCCAUGAGUCAACCACAGUCCACAAAGUCGGCGGCGGCUGCAAAGACGUCACUGCAUAGCAGCAACGACAGCGGGUUCGCCAAUGAGCCACCGCCACAGCCGGAGGUGGAUUACUCCGAUGAGGAGGCAUCCACACAACGUGUGCCCAUUCGAAGACGCGGUAUAUAUCGCAACUACUCGAUAGGCUAUUGAAAGCAAACGACAAAAUACAAUUGCAUAGAAGUAUAUUUUAGUAAAGCACGUCCACAAAAAUACAAUCCCGGUCAAAUUCCAAUGUAUGUAAAAAGCUAUAAUACCCGUUUCUAAUCAAUUGUAUAAAGAAGCUAUAACAACGCCUAUUCGCCUCCCAAUUUGCCACAAUCAAGUUGCGUCACACGAAGACCAAUGAUCGCUCGGCUCCCAUG